rnacentral:rRNA from 1 species
CCUACGGGCGGCAGCAGUGAGGAAUAUUGGUCAAUGGACGAGAGUCUGAACCAGCCAAGUAGCGUGAAGGAUGACUGCCCUAUGGGUUGUAAACUUCUUUUAUAUGGGAAUAAAACGUUCCACGUGUGGGAUUUUGUAUGUACCAUAUGAAUAAGGAUCGGCUAACUCCGUGCCAGCAGCCGCGGUAAUACGGAGGAUCCGAGCGUUAUCCGGAUUGAUUGGGUUUAAAGGGAGCGUAGGUGGAUUGUUAAGUCAGUUGUGAAAGUUUGCGGCUCAACCGUAAAAUUGCAGUUGAAACUGGCAGUCUUGAGUACAGUAGAGGUGGGCGGAAUUCGUGGUGUAGCGGUGAAAUGCUUAGAUAUCACGAAGAACGCCGAUUGCGAAGGCAGCUCACUGGACUGCAACUGACACUGAGGCUCGAAAGUGUGGGUAUCAAACAGGAUUAGAUACCCUUGUAGUC